rnacentral:tRNA from 1 species
GGGCCCAUAGCUCAGUUGGUCAGAGCGGCCGACUCAUAAUCGGCGGGUCGUAGGUUCAAAUCCUACUGGGCCCA